AACGAACGCUGGCGGCGUGCCUAACACAUGCAAGUCGGGCGAGAAAAGGGGAGCAAUCCCCUGAGUACAGCGGCGCACGGGUGAGUAACACGUAGGUGAUCUCCCCUCGAGCCCGGAAUAACCUACCGAAAGGUGGGCUAAUACCGGAUAUGACCACGGGUAGUUUUGGCUCCUGCGGUGAAAGAUGGCCUCUACCUGUAAGCUAUCACUCAAGGAUGAGCCUGCGUGCCAUUAGCUAGUUGGUGGGUAACGGCUCACCAAGGCUAUGAUGGCUAGCUGGUCUGAGAGGAUGGCCAG
rnacentral:rRNA from 1 species